rnacentral:rRNA from 1 species
CAUGCAAGUCGAGCGGAUGAAGGGAGCUUGCUCCCGGAUUCAGCGGCGGACGGGUGAGUAAUGCCUAGGAAUCUGCCUGGUAGUGGGGGACAACGUUUCGAAAGGAACGCUAAUACCGCAUACGUCCUACGGGAGAAAGCAGGGGACCUUCGGGCCUUGCGCUAUCAGAUGAGCCUAGGUCGGAUUAGCUAGUUGGUGAGGUAAUGGCUCACCAAGGCGACGAUCCGUAACUGGUCUGAGAGGAUGAUCAGUCACACUGGAACUGAGACACGGUCCA